GGCAGAGUGACAGGUGGUGCAUGGUUGUCGUCAGCUCGUGUCGUGAGAUGUUGGGUUAAGUCCCGCAACGAGCGCAACCCUUGAUCUUAGUUGCCAGCAUUCAGUUGGGCACUCUAAGGUGACUGCCGGUGACAAACCGGAGGAAGGUGGGGAUGACGUCAAAUCAUCAUGCCCCUUAUGACCUGGGCUACACACGUGCUACAAUGGGCAGAACAAAGGGCAGCGAAGCCGCGAGGCUAAGCCAAUCCCACAAAUCUGUUCUCAGUUCGGAUCGCAGUCUGCAACUCGACUGCGUGAAGCUGGAAUCGCUAGUAAUCGCGGAUCAGCAUGCCGCGGUGAAUACGUUCCCGGGCCUUGUACACACCGCCCGUCACACCACGAGAGUUUGUAACACCCGAAGUCGGUGAGGU
rnacentral:rRNA from 1 species